AGGACAGCGACUGCCACCCUGGGGAGGCGGUUACAGCUGGAAACGGAGUGAAGACCGGCCGCUGCCUGCGGAGAGAGAACUUGGCCAGGGGCACUUGUGAGAUCUUUGCCUGGUGCCCGUUGGAGACAAGCUCCAGGCCGGAGGAGCCGUUCCUGAAGGAGGCCGAAGACUUCACCAUUUUCAUAAAGAACCACAUCCGUUUCCCCAAAUUCAACUUCUCCAACCGUCUGGACAAUAAACUUUCAAAGUCUGUCUCCUCCGGGUACAACUUCAGAUUUGCCAGAUAUUACCGAGACGCAGCCGGGGUGGAGUUCCGCACCCUGAUGAAAGCCUACGGGAUCCGCUUUGACGUGAUGGUGAACGGCAAGGCAGGGAAGUUCAGCAUCAUUCCCACCAUCAUCAACGUGGGCUCUGGGGUGGCGCUCAUGG
rnacentral:sRNA from 1 species